rnacentral:rRNA from 1 species
AGUGGCGUACGGGUGAGUAAUAUAUCGGAACGUGCCCAGUCGUGGGGGAUAACGUAGCGAAAGUUACGCUAAUACCGCAUACGAUCUACGGAUGAAAGCGGGGGAUCGCAAGACCUCGCGCGAUUGGAGCGGCCGAUAUCAGAUUAGGUAGUUGGUGGGGUAAAGGCUCACCAAGCCAACGAUCUGUAGCUGGUCUGAGAGGACGACCAGCCACACUGGAACUGAGACACGGUCCAGACUCCUACGGGAGGCUGCAGUGGGGAAUUUUGGACAAUGGACGCAAGUCUGAUCCAGCCAUUCCGCGUGCAGGAUGAAGGCCCUCGGGUUGUAAACUGCUUUUGUACGGAACGAAAAGGUUUCCAUUAAUACUGGGAGCUCAUGACGGUACCGUAAGAAUAAGCACCGGCUAACUACGUGCCAGCAGCCGCGGUAAUACGUAGGGUGCAAGCGUUAAUCGGAAUUACUGGGCGUAAAGCGUGCGCAGGCGGUUAUGUAAGACAGAGGUGAAAUCCCCGGGCUCAACCUGGGAACUGCCUUUGUGACUGCAUAGCUAGAGUACGGUAGAGGGGGAUGGAAUUCCGCGUGUAGCAGUGAAAUGCGUAGAUAUGCGGAGGAACACCGAUGGCGAAGGCAAUCCCCUGGACCUGUACUGACGCUCAUGCACGAAAGCGUGGGGAGCAAACAGGAUUAGAUACCCUGG